UCUUUCGGGAGCACACGACCGGCGCACGGGUGCGUAACGCGUAUGCAACCUACCUAUAACAAGGGGAUAGCCCGGGGAAACCCGGAUUAAUACCCUAUAAAGCAGGGGUACUGCAUGGUACUAUUUGCUAAAGUUGAGGCGGUUAUAGAUGGGCAUGCGUUAGAUUAGCUAGUUGGUAAGGUAACGGCUUACCAAGGCGACGAUCUAUAGGGGUUCUGAGAGGAAGGUCCCCCACACUGGCACUGAGAUACGGGCCAGACUCCUACGGGAGGCAGCAGUAAGGAAUAUUGGUCAAUGGGCGAGAGCCUGAACCAGCCAUGCCGCGUGCAGGAAGACGGCCUUCUGGGUUGUAAACUGCUUUUAUACGGGAAGAAAAAGGUCUUGCGAGGCUACUUGCCGGUACCGUAUGAAUAAGCACCGGCUAACUCCGUGCCAGCAGCCGCGGUAAUACGGAGGGUGCGAGCGUUGUCCGGAUUCAUUGGGUUUAAAGGGUGUGUAGGCGGUAGUUUAAGUCAGUGGUGAAAGUCUUGAGCUUAACUGAAGAAGUGCCAUUGAAACUGGACUACUAGAGUAUAGUCGAGGUAGGCGGAAUUUAUGGUGUAGCGGUGAAAUGCAUAGAUACCAUAAAGAACACCGAUAGCGAAGGCAGCUUACUAGGCUAUAACUGACGCUGAGGCACGAAAGCAUGGGUAUCGAACAGGAUUAGAUACCCUGGUAGUCCAUGCUGUAAACGAUGCUCACUAGCUGUUGGCGAUAUAAGUUCAGCGGCUUAGCGAAAGCGAUAAGUGAGCCACCUGGGGAGUACGUCCGCUAGGAUGAAACUCANAGGAAUUGACGGGGG
rnacentral:rRNA from 1 species